rnacentral:rRNA from 1 species
UACGUAGGGUGCAAGCGUUGUCCGGAAUUAUUGGGCGUAAAGAGCUCGUAGGCGGUUUGUUGCGUCGGCUGUGAAAACCCGCGGCUCAACCGCGUGGCUUGCAGUCGAUACGGGCAGGCUAGAAUUCGGUAGGGGAGACUGGAAUUCCUGGUGUAGCGGUGAAAUGCGCAGAUAUCAGGAGGAACACCGGUGGUGUAGACGGCUUUCUGGACCGUAACUGACGCUGAAACACGAAAGCGUGGGUAGCAAACAGG